rnacentral:tRNA from 1 species
GGGCGUUUGGCACAGUGGUAGCGCGCACGCUUUGCAUUUACGAAAUAUGUAAACUGGUUGCGUGAGGUCGUGGGUUCGACCCCCACAUCGUCCA